UAACCACUCUAUUAGUAAAGAGUUGUUUUAGGAUAAAGAUGAGAUUGGGCCCAAUAACUAUUAGGUGAGGGGCCCAAUGGCAGCCUUACACCUACUUGUGAACGGUGGGUCAACCUUAACUAAGAAAUGUGAGCAAUAAUUGUUAGGUGAGCCCACAUGACUUAAAGAUCAAGUAGCUGCAACAUACUUAGAGAAGCAUCUGGGCAA
rnacentral:lncRNA from 1 species